rnacentral:rRNA from 1 species
ACACCGGCGGCCCGAGUGGUGAUCGUGAUUAUUGGGUCUAAAGGGUCCGUAGCCGGUUUGGUCAGUCCUCCGGGAAAUCUGACGGCUCAACCGUUAGGCUUUCGGUGGAUACUGCCAGACUUGGAACCGGGAGAGGUAAGAGGUACUACAGGGGUAGGAGUGAAAUCUUGUAAUCCCUGUGAGACCACCUGUGGCGAAGGCGUCUUACCAGAACGGGUUCGACGGUGAGGGACGAAAGCUGGGGGCACGAACCGGAUUAGAUACCCGGGUAGUCCCAGCCGUAAACGAUGCUCGCUAGGUGUCAGGCAUGGCGCGACCGUGUCUGGUGCCGCAGGGAAGCCGUGAAGCGAGCCACCUGGGAAGUACGGCCGCAAGGUUGAA